rnacentral:rRNA from 1 species
AGUUUGAUCAUGGCUCAGAUUGAACGCUGGCGGAUGCUUUACACAUGGUAGACGGCAGCACGGACUUCGGUCUGGUGGCGAGUGGCGAACGGGUGAGUAAUGUAUCGGAACGUGCCUAGUAGCGGGGAUAACUACGCGAAAGCGUAGCUAAUACCACAUACGCCCUUCGGGGGAAAGCAGGGGGACCUUCGGGCCUCGCACUAUUAGAAGCGGCCGAUAUCGGAUUAGCUAGUUGGUGGGGUAACGGCUCACCAAGGCGACGAUCCGUAGCUGGUUUAGAGAGGACAGUACACUGGGACUGAGACACGGCCCAGACUCCUACGGGGAGGCAGCAGUGGGGAAUUUUGGACCCAAUGAAACCCUGAUCAGCCAUCCCGCGUGUGCGAUGAAGGCCUUCGGGUUGUAAAGCACUUUUGGCAGAAAGAAACGGCACGGGACCACCCCGUGCAACUGACGGCCACCUGCAGAAUAAGCACCGGCUAACCGUGUCAGCAGCCGCGGUAAUACGUAGGGUGCAAGCGUUCAAUCGGAAUUACUGGGCGUAAAGCGUGCGCAGGCGGUUCCGGAAGAAGAUGUGAAAUCCCAGAGCUUAACUUUGGAACUGCAUUUUUAACUACCGAGCUAGAGUGUGUCAGAGGGAGGUGGAAUUCCCGCGUGUAGCAGUGAAAUGCGUAGAUAUGCGGAGAACACCGAUGGCGAAGGCAGCCUCCUGGGAUAACACUGACGCUCAUGCACGAAAGCGUGAGGAGCAAACAGGAUUAGAUACCUGGUAGUCCCGCCCUAAACGAUGUCAACUAGCUGUUUGGGGCCUUCGGGCCUUGGUAGCAGCUAACGCGUGAAGUGACCGCCUGGGGAGUACGGUCGCCAGAUUAAAACUCGAGAAUUGACGGGACCGCACACAGACGGAUGAUGUGGAUUAAUUCGAUGCAACGCGAAAAACCUUACCCUUGACGUAAUGGAAUCCCGAAGAGAUUUGGGAGUGCUCGCGAAGGAACCGGAACACAGGUGCUGCAUGGCUGUCGUCAGCUCGUGAGAUGUUGGGUUAAGUCCCGCAACGAGCGCAGCCCUUGCGUCGUUAGUUGCUACGAAAGGGCACUCUAAUGCGGUGACAAACCGGAGGAAAAUUGGGGAUGACGUCAAGUCCUCAUGGCCCUUAUGGGUAGGGCUUCACACGUCAUACAAUGGUCGGGACAGAGGUGUAACCGCGAGGGGGAGCCAAUCCCAGAAACCCGAUCGUAGUCCGGAUCGCAGUCUGCAGCUCGACUGCGUGAAGUCGGAAUCGCUGGUAAUCGCGGAUCAGCAUGUCGCGGUGAAUACGUUCCCGGGUCUUGUACACACCGCCCGUCACACCAUGGGAGUGGGUUUCACCAAGUAGUUAGCCUAGCCGUAAGGAGGGCGAUUACCACGGUAGGAUUCAUGACUGGGGGUGAAGUCGUAACAGGUAG